CUUCCUGAGGAUACUGGCUUCUCUGUUAUUCACUGCUGCUCAGGUUAUCACUGAAAUGUGCAUACAAGGACAACUCUGGGUCAUCGAUUCAUCACCUGAACUUCAACUGAUUUCUCCUGCACUGAUGGUCUAUCAUCGCCUCUCAGUGAAAACAUGAACUUCUCUCAGUGUGUCCCACUUUCAGUGAUGCAGCUCAGAAGGUUUUGCUGCCCUGAACAACCUACAGCCCGGACUAUUCAAUCCGUUUGCAGAACAAAACAGCCUGGAACCAUUUUGCAAGAAAAGACGCUAGUCUGAGCCACACGAGUCCUCCUCCAGUGUAUAGGUUCCUCUAUCAGAUUACUAAUUUGGUUUUCAAAGGGGAUUACAUGCUAAGCAGUAGCUCUUUAUUUAGGAGGAAGGUAAACAAA